ACAACCCACUGCCCUGGAGUUACUUAAUAUGCUGGUCACACCCUGUGGAGGAGUCAGUCCCAGUCAGGACUGAGCAUAGACAUGAGGGUGCCCACUCAGCUCUUGGGGCUUCUGCUGCUCUGGAUCUCAGGUGCCAGAUGUGACAUCCAGAUGACACAGCCACCCUCCUUGUCUGCAUCUCUAGGAGACAGAGUCACCCUUACCUGCAGGGCCAGUCAGGAUAUUAGCAACUACUUAAACUGGUACCAGCAGAAACCAGGUGAAAGUCCCAAACUCCUCAUCUACUAUACAUCUAGGUUACAAUCUGGGGUCCCAUCGAGGUUCAGUGGCAGUGGAUCUGGGGCAGAGUAUUCUCUCACCAUCAGCAGCCUGGAGUUGGAAGAUGUUGCCACUUACUACUGUCAGCAGUAUAAAAGCAACCCAACCACAGUGAUACAAGUCAUAACAAAAACCAGCGGUUAA